ensembl:lncRNA
GACAUUGAUUGGGUGGUUAGGUGGAGGUUGACAUUGAUUGGGUGGUUAGGUGGAGGUUGACAUUGAUUGUGUGGUUAGGUGGAGGUUGACAUUGAUUGGGUGGUCGGGUGGAGGUUGACAUUGAUUGUGUGGUCGGGUGGAGGUUGACAUUGAUUGUGUGGUCGGGUGGAGGUUGACAUUGAUUGUGUGGUCGGGUGGAGGUUGACAUUGAUUGGGUGGUUAGGUGGAGGUUGACAUUGAUUGUGUGGUCGGGUGGAGGUUGACAUUGAUUGUGUGGUCGGGUGGAGGUUGACAUUGAUUGGGUGGUCGGGUGGAGGUUGACAUUGAUUGGGUUAACUACUGACAUUGUACCAAUGGAUGUCUGGAGAGGUUCUUCCUUCUUUAGGAGGGUUAGGAGGAGUGGGAGUGAAUGGGAGGGUUAGGAGGAGUGGGAGUGAAUGGGAGGGUUAGGAGGAGUGGGAGUGAAUGGGAGGAUUAGGAGGAGUGGGAGUGAAUGGGAGGGUUAGGAGGAGUGGGAGUGAAUGGGAGGGUUAGGAGGAGUGGGAGUGAAUGGGAGGGUUAGGAGGAGUGGGAGUGAAUGGGAGGGUUAGGAGGAGUGGGAGUGAAUGGGAGGGACUGAAAAUCAUUGAAGGGAAAACAGGAUGAAAAGGUGUGAGACAAAUGUAGAAGAAAAUAUAGAUUCUGCUAAUGCUAACAAUAACAACCAAUGUAAUAAAGCUGUGUGAACAUGUUACAGAUUAUCAAUGGUUGUUUGAGGAGCUGCAUGGAUCCCUGAAUAAAUACCAACAACAAUAUAAAUGUGGUUAUUGGAAGGCCUUUAUGGACACAGAAUGACAAGCCAGUCAUAUCAUAUAAACUUUCAUUCUCAUGCAUAAAACUGCUGAUACAACCUGUUGCAAACCUCCAGUAUCACAACAAUUAUAGAUAGUAAAACGCAUUUCAGACCUUCAUCAGGUGUUGUUUUUGAUGGAUGUCCUUAAGUUCCAUGAGAAGUUACACUUUGCAAGGUCAGUAAUGGGGAUCCUUAUGGAGACAAACAGUCUAAAUGGUUCUACUAACGCCGCUUUCAUUAAGUGCAGCUAAAUACACCUGAUUCUAUUCAUUGGAAAUUGGAAAGAUCUAACACACCACGUUAACAAUUCCUUUAAAGCCAUCCCACCCAGUCUGCCUUCUUAAUAAGAUAAUCUGUGGCCCUCAAAAAAAACUUGAAAAUAUCUGUCUCCAUUAAGGCUAUCGUCUUGUUGUAGAUGUCUUCCAUUUCAGGCAAUGGUUCGGUGCUCUCUGGACAAUGCUCUAAACACACACACACGUACACACACGUACACACACACGUACACACACGUACACACAGAGGAGGAGAAUCAGAAAGACCCACACAGUCAGAUAAUGAAACAUGACAGUUUAUAGUAAUCACUGUAAUAUUGUGGCCGAUGUGGGAUUGUCUAGCCCAUUGGCUGUCAGAAGUUCUAUCAGUCUCUCCGAUAGUGCCUGACACAGCAUAUCCAAGGGCACCCUCUAGUGGUGACUCUAUGCCAUGCCGCUAACAGCCACCAGGAUGUGUCCCGCUAGUCGCGAAUGUGCUGUGGGAGACAGUCAGCUGGAAAGAAAAUGUUUUUUGUGUCGUUUCAUCUUUAGUAUUUUUUUAAUCCUCAGCACAUUGGUAGAUUUUUACCCGUGUUUAUUACUAGGUUAAAACAUUUAAACGCCAUUGAGUUGCUAGUUCACAGCUGUAAAGAUUGCAUAACAUUAUUUGCUGCAGCUGCAAAUAAUGUUUGGUGUUGACGUCGGCCCAAAUUAAAUCCAUAACGGUUGUUCUAUAUAGCAGCCUAUGUAUUUCAUAUUUGUGUCAUUAAGGAUUCUUUUACACUGUACUUUCAUAGUGACUGUUGACAAAAAUAGAUAUUUUUUCUUUCGAAUUUAAUAUAUUGAAACCCACAGGCCAAAUAAUUACUGACACACUAAACAAAUUCUGAAAGAAGAUCAGAA